ACCGUCGCUUGCAGAGCUUCGCGGAACUUGCAGGCAGCGGCACUUCGAAGCUCUGCAAGCGACGGUCGGCAACCGUAAGCUAAGCAAACAACGUCAGUUGAAGGUGCCAUGGAUCUCGAACUGCCAAUGGACAAAGUAUCUCUUGGAUCGAAUAACACACCGUGAUUUCUCCUUACCCUUCUUUCCAUCUGAAAUUUGAUAACUUUCAAUGCUUUCUGUUCUACUUUAAUUCCUUUCAAGCUGUAUAUCAGGUUUACUUAUCUAUUCAUUGUGAAACAGGGAUGAUAGCAAGAUAAAUGUAGUUCUUGUAGCUACCGGUUGUUUCAAUCCUCCAACUUUUAUGCACUUGCGAAUGUUUGGUAAGCUUCUUGAACAUUUUGAUUUGCUGAACUUCAAUUUGGAUUAGUACUUAGUUAAUUUUGCUUUUGAAUAUUGUAUUUGAAAUAUUGCUUUGCAUUUGAUGAAAGAUUUUACAAUAAAUGCUGUGCCUAAGUGCCAUGUCCACAUGUACGUGACUGAAUUUGGUGGAACGAAUUACUAGGUUUAUUGCACAUGAUAAGUAUGUAAAUCGGAUUUGAUCAGUUCUUCUUUUAUGAUUAGAGCUGGCAAGGGAUGCUUUGCAUUCAGAGGGCUACCAUGUUGUUGCGGCCUACAUGUCACCUGUUAGUGAUGCAUAUAAAAAGCAGGUACAUAUGUUCUUUCGUUAUGUCCAUCAUGGACUGUUAGCAUUCUAGGCUGAUUCUGAUUCUGCUCUUACUACUUCAUGCUUUAGCUCUCAUGGAUUUGCCUAUAUAAUAGUAAAGUAUUGCAAGAUAUGAUUUGCCUCUUGAUUUUUUUUUUCAAAUCCCUAUAUAGAAAUAAUUAAGUAGAGAAGUAACUUGACUGCUUGGUUAUUUAGAGCCUCAUAUCUGGUGAACAUCGCUUGCGGAUGUGUAAUUUAGCAUCUGAAAGUUCCGAUUUCAUAAUGGUUGAUCCAUGGGAGGUAUUUGUCUCCAGUUUCCAAGCUUCAUUCAGCUAAUUAUUUCAAACUCUAAGCUGCUACAUUAUGAUUCUUCAUUGUUUUGAUUUAUUUGAUGCCCACUUGUUACCAUUUAUGUUAUGCUUUUCAUCUUAACAUUCUUCUGCAACUGCAAUUGAUUUAAUAUUUUAAACUUUUUUUACAGGCAAACCAAAGUACCUACCAACGCACUUUGACUAUCUUGAAAAGAAUUGAGAGUUACUUUAUUGAUAAUAAACGACUGAUAUCCAGGGGUAAGAUUUAACUUUAUUUACUGGCGUUAACAUAUGACAAAUAUUUUUCAUCCGAAGGUUUUAUGACACCAUCUCUGACAUUGCUUUAUUCAAAACCUGUUUUAUCUAAUAUUUAAUAUUGAGGGCAAUUCUAAUGUUUCCACUCUUGUUCUUCUUGUAGAAUUCCUCAGGGUCAUGCUUGUUUGUGGUUCUGAUUUACUCCAAUCAUUUAGCAUACCUGGAUUUUGGAUUACUGAGCAGGCAUGUUCUUGGUGCCUUGUAUUUCUGUAUGCUAGAGGUGCUUAUAUGAAUAAAAAGAAAAAGGUCUAAUGGUGGAAUUCAUUUUGGUUUCUCAUUUUUAUAUAGUGGGUAUUGGAAUGUUGCUUUCAGAUUCUAUUUGUUAUCAGAAAAUCACAGUGCCUAUCACUAUAUGUGUGUUGGAAUCUUUUAAUAAUUUAUGAGUAAAAUCACAGUUCACAUCAAAUGGUGACGUUUUAUUAUGUUAAGUGACAGGUUUUAUGUCCUUCAAAGCAUGUUGUUUGGAUGGAAGGUACUGAUUUAUUGCGUUUGGCAUCUGCUAAUUGACAAAUAAGUUAACCUUUUCAUUUUUCAUAGGUAAGGACUAUAUGCAGAGAAUAUGGCGUGGUUUGCAUUUGCAGAGAAGGUCAGGAGGUUGAGAAAAUCAUAUCUGAUAAUGAAAUCCUGAAUGAAAACAGGGUGAGUACUAACUUUGAAUAUGCAACCAUUUUAUCAUGAUUUAUGCCUGAAAAUUACUUAAACCAUGUCUAGUUCUACGUUUAUUUGUACCGUCCAUAACAACCAUCAAAACCAAGGUCUUCAUUCCCUCUCUCUCUUUUUUUAUUUGGGAGCCUGGGUUGUCAUUCUUGCUUAUAUCUACUGAUAUUCUAAUUUAGUAGUUUCCUGGUCAAAUUUACUCAACACUGAACUUUUGGUUUUCAAAGGGUUGAAAUUAGUGUAAAGUUCAAAAUUUUAAAUAGUUGACAAAGGACUUAAGUGGCAUUUGUUAAGUGGCAUCAGUCAAAGAGCUUCAACAAAUAGUUGUUCGUUACUUAGUUCUGAGUCUCUCCCUAUGAACUUCAUCAAUUUAAUGUUCUUGGCUUCUUGCAGAGUAACAUCAAAGUAGUGGAUGAACUUGUACCAAACUCAAUCAGCUCAACAAGAUUGAGGUAUAUAUUAUAUAUUUUUUGACAAAAUAAAAGAUGCUAUUGAACAACUAAUUUACAUUAAUGCCUCUGUUUUGUUUUUGUUUUUCAGGUAUUGUAUUUCUAGAGGGUUGUCAAUAAAAUAUUUAACUAUAGAUGGGGUGAUAGAAUACAUUAGAGAACAUCGAUUGUACAUGAACUCAAUUGAGAAAUGAUGAUGUCUUUGCUUAUUCUAUUGGAACAGUAUACAUUAAUUAUCAAUCAUAUGAACAAAGUAAUAUUAACUCUAUUGGGGAAGCAAUGCUUAAUUAAAACAAUAGAUUGUGGAUGUCAUUUGAAUCAUUCCUACAAAUCAAGGAGCCGCUGAUUAGGUA
rnacentral:misc_RNA from 1 species